GGCAAUAGAAUUAUGAUUGUCUAUUUGAGAAUCGGAUUCAAAACUGGCAAUCUAUAUAUCUGGAAAGAAAGGCAACACAGCAAGAAUGCUUGAUUAUGUAAAAAAAUGCAACGGAAGCUACUAUUGGAACUCAUGUACCCUGUACAAGUUCGCUUCUGAAAAUAAAAUUAACAGUACAAGAAAUAAAUAAUGAGAGUGCAACUCUUUGAAAAUGAUGUGCUAAUUCAAUGCUAGGGUAGCAAAAAAAUAAAACAUUACACAGAAUCGACGACUAAUGGUAAUACAAAAUGGUUCCUUUUUGCACAUUUUUUCUAGGUUAAGUUCCUAUGGUCAGUAGCUAUCAAGGAUUCAAGUGAACUCUCAGUAGAAGUAAUUUUUUACUCCUCAUGUAGAAAUACCUGGACUUACUGUCACAUGUGUUAUUUGUCAUCCAGAACACAACAACGUUUCUCUAAGAUACUGAAUAUCAAUACAACAUUUUGUUUUUUGAGUAACACAUUCAUCAAAAUAUUUACUACCUACUAGAUGAGAGAUGAUAUGAGAGAGCAAUAUUACUGCCUAUAAGAGAGAGGUUCUUCCUUCUUCCCCCAGGUCUGAAUCAAGAGCAGCCCUAGUUCAAUUCAAAAUAAAAUGGCAGUUCGAACACGGGGCAUGAAAAUGUUCACCGUCGGGAGAUGGAGAGGAAAGAUUUCGAGCAGGGCGUCCCUCACGAUUACUAGGAAGGAGGCGCUGGGACAUUGAACGGCCUCCGAUGACGGUGUUGGACCGCUGGAUGCGGCCGUGUCGGACCACCCACUGGGACAAUGCAGAAAGGUGGCGGGGAGCGUCGCUGAGGGUACCAGAAGGAGGCGGAGGGGCGACACCCGAACUAAUACAGGAACAUCUGAAAAGAAUGAAUUAUUUUAGUCAACGCACACCAAAGAGAAAUCCAAAAAAAGUUGAACCUUCCGAAGCAUAACAACCUGCUGUGUGUUUGUCAAGAAAAAGUUGAACCUCCAGAAGCAUAACUAUGCUAGCUUAUGCAUCCCGAAUUUUCAACGUGCAGCUUCGGUUAUAGUAGAACCAAUGUCAAGUAAUAACCAAGGUUAUUUCAUCCCUUCAGAUUCUUGGCAUGUAAUUCCCUAUAGAAUUGUCAGCUCCACAAACUUGCCUUCUACAUAUAAAUCAACAUCAAUAGCUGAACUUCACAGGAUGACAUUUUUGAGCUUAGCCGGAGAAUAAUUUUCUAAAAAAUCAUGAUUGAACUAAAUAAUUAUCAGAGUCUGAACUGAUGUAAAAUCUUUCUUGCUGAACUGCUGCUGAAGCCCCUGCAUAUUGAAUUACUAUAUAAUAUAUAAACCUAAUUGUUUUUUCUAUAACACACAUGAAACUGUAUUUGUGUUUACUUUAUGAACUGAUGAUAACUUACAUCAUGAACUCCUACAAAUAGUUUUUUUAUACAAAGCAUAUGAUUUGUGAGCUGCAUAGGCAAGAUAAAUCAUGCAAGGAUAUCGAUUCUACACUUUCUGAACACUCAAGAUAGCAAUACACGAACUUACCGGGAGAGAUCACACUGAAUUGACGGGGGCUGGAUCGCUUAAGGGGAUCUUGGCAAGAGGUGGAUGGAGGCUGGAGGAGGUGGUCGUCGCAGGUGCAGCUGGACCGAAGCCGACGCCGAGCUGAAGGGAGACUAGUGGUCGACACGGGGGGAGCGAGCCGGAUGGCGGUGGGGAAAGGAGGCGGCCAACGCGUGGGAGGAGGUAGCAAC
rnacentral:lncRNA from 1 species